rnacentral:rRNA from 1 species
UGGGGAAUAUUGCACAAUGGGCGCAAGCCUGAUGCAGCCAUGCCGCGUGUAUGAAGAAGGCCUUCGGGUUGUAAAGUACUUUCAGUCGGGAGGAAGGUGUCAAGGUUAAUAACCUUGGCAAUUGACGUUACCGACAGAAGAAGCACCGGCUAACUCCGUGCCAGCAGCCGCGGUAAUACGGAGGGUGCAAGCGUUAAUCGGAAUUACUGGGCGUAAAGCGCACGCAGGCGGUUGAUUGAGUCAGAUGUGAAAUCCCCGGGCUUAACCCGGGAAUUGCAUCUGAUACUGGUCAGCUAGAGUCUUGUAGAGGGGGGUAGAAUUCCAUGUGUAGCGGUGAAAUGCGUAGAGAUGUGGAGGAAUACCGGUGGCGAAGGCGGCCCCCUGGACAAAGACUGACGCUCAGGUGCGAAAGCGUGGGGCGCAAACAGG